UGUUGCCAAGGAUUGAACCCAGGUCACCCACGUGAUAGGUGGGAAUACUUACUACUAUACUAAAAGAUUAUAGAUAUGCUCAACUUAUACCUCAAUUUAGUGCAAGAUUGUAGACAUUCUUCUCAGAGAGAGAUGUAUGCACCAUCUCCAUCCUACUAGGAGUAUAAUUGUUCUUUAUGCGGUGAUCGAGAUAGACAUUAGAUUGAUUGCCUAAAUGCCCCCUCCCCC
rnacentral:lncRNA from 1 species